AUGAUACUCCCUCCGUCUGGAAAUACUUGUCAGAGAAAUGGAUGUACCUAGACAUAUUUUUAUUCUAGAUACAUCAACUUUUAUCCAUUUAUGCGACAAGUAAUUCCGGAGGAAGUGAGUGCAUG
rfam:Triticum aestivum genome assembly, contig: Triticum_aestivum_CS42_TGACv1_scaffold_404294_5BL